GGGUUGUGGUUCAGUGGUAGAGCUCUUGCCUAGACUGCAUGAGGCACUGGUUUGAUCCCAGACACCCA
rnacentral:tRNA from 1 species